UACAGAGGUCCCGAGCGUUGUUCGGAUUCACUGGGCGUAAAGGGUGCGUAGGCGGCCUGUUAAGUCAGACGUGAAAUCCCUCGGCUCAACCGGGGAACUGCGUCUGAUACUGGCGGGCUUGAAUUCGGGAGAGGGAUGUGGAAUUCCAGGUGUAGCGGUGAAAUGCGUAGAUAUCUGGAGGAACACCGGUGGCGAAGGCGGCAUCCUGGACCGACAUUGACGCUGAGGCGCGAAAGCCAGGGGAGCAAACGGG
rnacentral:rRNA from 1 species